rnacentral:piRNA from 1 species
UAAGUUGUGUAGCUGCCUUC